rnacentral:rRNA from 1 species
UACGUAGGGGGCAAGCGUUGUCCGGAAUCAUUGGGCGUAAAGAGCGUGUAGGCGGCCAGAUAAGUCCGCUGUGAAAGUCGGGGGCUCAACCCUCGGAUGCCGGUGGAUACUGUCGGGCUUGAGUACGGAAGAGGCGAGUGGAAUUCCUGGUGUAGCGGUGAAAUGCGCAGAUAUCAGGAGGAACACCAAUUGCGAAGGCAGCUCGCUGGGACGUUACUGACGCUGAGACGCGAAAGCGUGGGGAGCAAACAGG